rnacentral:rRNA from 1 species
AUUGAACGCUGGCGGCAGGCUUAACACAUGCAAGUCGAACGAUGGUUUCCCAGCUUGCUGGGAAUGAUUAGUGGCGGACGGGUGAGUAACAUUUAGGAAUCUGCCUAGUAGUGGGGGAUAGCUCGGGGAAACUCGAAUUAAUACCGCAUACGACCUACGGGUGAAAGGGGGCGCAAGCUCUUGCUAUUAGAUGAGCCUAAAUCAGAUUAGCUAGUUGGUGGGGUAAAGGCCCACCAAGGCGACGAUCUGUAACUGGUCUGAGAGGAUGAUCAGUCACACCGGAACUGAGACACGGUCCGGACUCCUACGGGAGGCAGCAGUGGGGAAUAUUGGACAAUGGGGGCAACCCUGAUCCAGCCAUGCCGCGUGUGUGAAGAAGGCCUUUUGGUUGUAAAGCACUUUAAGCAGGGAGGAGAGGCUAAUGGUUAAUACCCAUUAGAUUAGACGUUACCUGCAGAAUAAGCACCGGCUAACUCUGUGCCAGCAGCCGCGGUAAUACAGAGGGUGCGAGCGUUAAUCGGAAUUACUGGGCGUAAAGCGAGUGUAGGUGGCUCAUUAAGUCACAUGUGAAAUCCCCGGGCUUAACCUGGGAACUGCAUGUGAUACUGGUGGUGCUAGAAUAUGUGAGAGGGAAGUAGAAUUCCAGGUGUAGCGGUGAAAUGCGUAGAGAUCUGGAGGAAUACCGAUGGCGAAGGCAGCUUCCUGGCAUAAUAUUGACACUGAGAUUCGAAAGCGUGGGUAGCAAACAGGAUUAGAUACCCUGGUAGUCCACGCCGUAAACGAUGUCUACUAGCCGUUGGGGUCCUUGAGACUUUAGUGGCGCAGUUAACGCGAUAAGUAGACCGCCUGGGGAGUACGGCCGCAAGGUUAAAACUCAAAUGAAUUGACGGGGGCCCGCACAAGCGGUGGAGCAUGUGGUUUAAUUCGAUGCAACGCGAAAAACCUUACCUGGUCUUGACAUAGUGAGAAUCUUUCAGAGAUGAGAGAGUGCCUUCGGGAAUUCACAUACAGGUGCUGCAUGGCUGUCGUCAGCUCGUGUCGUGAGAUGUUGGGUUAAGUCCCGCAACGAGCGCAACCCUUUUCCUUAUUUGCCAGCGGGUUAAGCCGGGAACUUUAAGGAUACUGCCAGUGACAAACUGGAGGAAGGCGGGGACGACGUCAAGUCAUCAUGGCCCUUACGACCAGGGCUACACACGUGCUACAAUGGUAGGUACAGAGGGUUGCUACACAGCGAUGUGAUGCUAAUCUCAAAAAGCCUAUCGUAGUCCGGAUUGGAGUCUGCAACUCGACUCCAUGAAGUCGGAAUCGCUAGUAAUCGCAGAUCAGAAUGCUGCGGUGAAUACGUUCCCGGGCCU